rnacentral:rRNA from 1 species
UAGCGGCGGACGGGUGAGUAACGCGUGGGAAUAUGCCCAAAGGUACGGAAUAGCCUCGGGAAACUGGGAGUAAUACCGUAUGUGCCCUUCGGGGGAAAGAUUUAUCGCCUUUGGAUUAGCCCGCGUUGGAUUAGGUAGUUGGUGGGGUAAUGGCCUACCAAGCCCGACGAUCCAUAGCUGGUUUGAGAGGAUGAUCAGCCACACUGGGACUGAGACACGGCCCAGACUCCUACGGGAGGCAGCAGUGGGGAAUCUUAGACAAUGGGGGAAACCCUGAUCUAGCCAUGCCGCGUGAGCGAUGAAGGCCUUAGGGUUGUAAAGCUCUUUCAGCUGGGAAGAUAAUGACGGUACCAGCAGAAGAAGCCCCGGCUAACUCCGUG